AGGAUGAACGCUGGCGGUCUGCUUAACACAUGCAAGUCGAACGGAGUAGCAAUACUUAGUGGCGGACGGGUGAGUAACGCGUGAGAAUCUACCUUCAGGACGGAGACAACAGUUGGAAACGACUGCUAACCCCCGAUGUACUGAAAAGGCAAAUAUUUAUAGCCUGAAGAAGAGCUCGCGUCCGAUUAGCUAGUUGGAGAGGUAAAAGCUCACCAAGGCGACGAUCGGUAGCUGGUCUGAGAGGACGAUCAGCCACACUGGGACUGAGACACGGCCCAGACUCCUACGGGAGGCAGCAGUGGGAAUUUUCCGCAAUGGGCGAAAGCCUGACGGAGCAAGACCGCGUGGGGAAGAAGGCUCUUGGGUUGUAAACCCCUUUUCUCUGGGAAGAACACAAUGACGGUACCAGAGGAAUCAGCAUCGGCUAACUCCGUGCCAGCAGCCGC
rnacentral:rRNA from 1 species